ACGCAAUAGAUACCCCCGGUAGUCCACGCCCUAAACGAUGUCUACUAGUUGUCGGGUCUUAAUUGACUUGGUAAACGCAGCUAAACGCGUGAAGUAGACCGCCUGGGGGAGUACGGUCGCAAGAUUAAAAACUCAAAGGAAUUGACGGGGACCCGGCACAAGCGGUGGAUGAUGUGGAUUAAUUCGAUGCAACGCGAAAAACCUUAACCUACCCUUGACAUGGAAGGAAAUCCCUGAGAGAUUGGGGAGUGCUCGAAAGAGAACCUUUAACACAGGUGCUGCAUGGCUGUCGUCAGCUCGUGUCGUGAGAUGUUGGGUUAAGUCCCGCAACGAGCGCAACCCUUGUCAUUAGUUGCUACGAAAGGGCACUCUAAUGAGACUGCCGGUGACAAACCGGAGGAAGUGGGGAUGACGUCAAGUCCUCAUGGCCCUUAUGGGUAGGGCUUCACACGUCAUACAAUGGUACAUACAGAGGCCGCAACCCGGCAGGGGGUAGCUAAUCCCAGAAAGUGUAUCGUAGUCC
rnacentral:rRNA from 1 species